UGGCUGGUGGCUCAGUGGGAAAGCACCUGCUUAGCAUGCAGAAGGUCGGAGGUUCAAUCCCUGGCAUCUCCAGUUAA
rnacentral:tRNA from 1 species